AUGCAAAUGCUCCUGGUGUGGCUUUUUCUUAAAUGCCGCAACCGAGGAUCAUUUUUAGGUGAGGAGAGUGAAUCCCAUACGUCCAUCAUGGAGCUAAAUAUCUUGAUUUCUUUCUUAGUGGUCUUACCUGCAUGUAUUUCAUCACAAAUUACACUUACUGAGUCUGGUGGUGGCCUAAAGAAGCCAGGAGAUACUCUACAGCUGACUUGUUCAGUCUCUGGAUUUGCCAUCACAUCCUAUGGAGUGAACUGGAUCCGUCAGCCCACUGGAAAGGCUAUUGAAUGGAAUGGUAUUAUCUGGGGUGGUGGAAGCACUAACUAUAACAGUGCUCUCCAGAAUCGGAUCAGGAUCACAAGGGAUACUUCCAAAAACCAGGUCUUCCUUCAACUGACUGCUUUAACGACUGAAGACACAGGAACUUAUUACUGUGCAAGAGUCACAGUGAUAAAAUGCUUUGCUCAAGCAGCCCAAAACCACUCUUCCUCAAAACAAAUCCUUAGUCAUUUGUUGUUUUUGAAUGGCAGCCAGCAAGGAGGUGGCUUUCCAUGCACUGCCAGCUAUGUGUGA